rnacentral:rRNA from 1 species
AUUGAACGCUGGCGGCAGGCCUAACACAUGCAAGUCGAGCGAGCGGCGGACGGGCGAGUAAUGUCUGGGAAACUGCCUGAUGGAGGGGGAUAACAACUGGAAACGUUAGCUAAUACCGCAUACCAUCCGAUUUGCCCAGAUGGGAGUAGCUAGUAGGGGGUGUAACGGCUCACCUAGGCGACGAUCCCUAGCUGGUAUGAGAGGAUGACCAGCCACAAUGGAACUGAGACACGGUCCAGACUCCUGCGGGAGGCAGAAGUGGGGAAUAUGGGACAGUGGGCGCAAGCCUGAUGCAGCAAUGCCGAGUGUGUGAAGAAGGCCUUGGGGUUGUAAAGCACUGUCAGCGAGGAGGCGUUACCCGCAGAAGAAGCACCGGCUAACUCCGUGCCAGCAGCCGCGGUAAUUC